rnacentral:rRNA from 1 species
GAGGGGAACCCCGCACAAGCGGUGGAUGAUGUGGAUUAAUUCGAUGCAACGCGAAGAACCUUACCUACCCUUGACAUGUCCGGAACUUGCCAGAGAUGGCUUGGUGCCCGAAAGGGAAUCGGAACACAGGUGCUGCAUGGCUGUCGUCAGCUCGUGUCGUGAGAUGUUGGGUUAAGUCCCGCAACGAGCGCAACCCUUAUCAUUAGUUGCUACGCAAGGGCACUCUAAUGAGACUGCCGGUGACAAACCGGAGGAAGUGGGGAUGACGUCAAGUCCUCAUGGCCCUUAUGGGUAGGGCUUCACACGUCAUACAAUGGUCGGUACAGAGGGUUGCCAAGCCGCGAGGCGGAGCCAAUCCCACAAAGCCGAUCGUAGUCCGGAUUGUUCUCUGCAACUCGAGAGCAUGAAGUCGGAAUCGCUAGUAAUCGCAGGUCAGCAUACUGCGGUGAAUACGUUCCCGGGUCUU